CCUAAAGUUAGGCCUUCGGCUAUCGCUGCACCCAUGUCUUUUGAGUACCGUCUGUUUCCUCGGCGGGUCUGCCUGCCGAUUGGACAUAUUAAACCAUUUUGCAGUUGCAAUCAGCGUCAUGAAAAAAACUAAUAGUUA
rnacentral:misc_RNA from 1 species